rnacentral:rRNA from 1 species
CCUACGGGGAGCAGCAGUGAGGAAUAUUGGUCAAUGGACGCAAGUCUGAAACAGCCAUGCCGCGUGCAGGAAGACGGCUCUAUGAGUUGUAAACUGCUUUUGUACGAGGGUAAACGCAGAUACGCGUAUCUGUCUGAAAGUAUCGUACGAAUAAGGCUCGGCUAACUCCGUGCCAGCAGCCGCGGUAAGACGGAGGAUUCAAGCGUUAUCCGGAUUUAUUGGGUUUAAAGGGUGCGUAGGCGGUCGGAUAAGUUAGAGUUGAAAUCCCGAUGCUCAACUUCGGAAUUGCCUCUGAUACGGUUCGGAUAGAGAGUAGUUGUGGUAGGCGGAAUGUAUGGGGUAGCGGGGAAAUGCUUAGAGAUCAUACAGAACACCGAGUGCGAAGGCAGCUUACCAAGCUACUUCUGACGUUGAGGCACGAAAGCGUGGGGAGCAAACAGGAGUAGAUACCCGAGUAGUC